UAAUACAUGCAAGUCGAGCGAGCGGAACCACAGAUUUACUUCGGUAAUGACGUUGGGAAAGCGAGCGGCGGAUGGGUGAGUAACACGUGGGGAACCUGCCCCUAAGUCUGGGAUACCAUUUGGAAACAGGUGCUAAUACCGGAUAAUAAAGCAGAUCGCAUGAUCAGCUUUUGAAAGGCGGCGUAAGCUGUCGCUAAGGGAUGGCCCCGCGGUGCAUUAGCUAGUUGGUAAGGUAACGGCUUACCAAGGCGACGAUGCAUAGCCGAGUUGAGAGACUGAUCGGCCACAUUGGGACUGAGACACGGCCCAAACUCCUACGGGAGGCAGCAGUAGGGAAUCUUCCACAAUGGACGCAAGUCUGAUGGAGCAACGCCGCGUGAGUGAAGAAGGUUUUCGGAUCGUAAAGCUCUGUUGUUGGUGAAGAAGGAUAGAGGUAGUAACUGGCCUUUAUUUGACGGUAAUCAACCAGAAAGUCACGGCUAACUACGUGCCAGCAGCCGCGGUAAUACGUAGGUGGCAAGCGUUGUCCGGAUUUAUUGGGCGUAAAGCGAGCGCAGGCGGAAAAAUAAGUCUAAUGUGAAAGCCCUCGGCUUAACCGAGGAACUGCAUCGGAAACUGUUUUUCUUGAGUGCA
rnacentral:rRNA from 1 species